rnacentral:tRNA from 1 species
AAGCAUAUAGUUUAACGGAUAAAACGUUAGGUUACGACCCUGAAGAUGCGAGUUCGAUUCUUGCUAUGCUUA